UACAGAGUUUACCUAAAAUCCUAAUAAAUCAGCCAAAAUAUUCAUAAACCCAAAAAGUAAUGAACAAAAUAUGAACUGUAGUGAAAUAUUCAUAGAGAAACUUCAGGUAUGACACACCAAUCAAAACACAUUUCACUAAAGCCCCAAGCCAAUACAGACACUUUUUUUUAAUGCAGUGCAGCAUUUCAGUAUGGUUUAGAUGAGUUAGUGCACCGAAGCUCUGCCUCCUUUCUAGAUGGCCAACUUCCUUUUAACCCUGGGAAUGAAUUGUCAGGCCAAACAGUCCAGGGUACUCUGUUCCCGUUACUUAGCGCCCUCACAGGUCGGGAGGGAGAUUUACCACCAAAGAUCAUUUUAUUUCUGUCACAGGCCACCACUGCACCCUUACCUGACUCAUGUUCUGACAAGGCUUUCCACCACACACUGCUUAACUGGUACAGUAGGUGGGUUCACUUCAGACAACAUGUGUAGUCACCAUUGGGCUCAGUGAUUCAUUGGAUUUGAACAGUGGCAUCACUUAAAAUACCAAACAUGCGCUGACAAAAGCUACUGAUGCAGACAAAAUUAAACAUGCACAGGUGUCAACAAGCACAUUUUAUGGAAGGAAAAAAGAUUCAAACCUGUCCUACCACAGCCACUUAAUUUCCAUGACACCACCUUAUCAAGAGCAGACUGGAGUCCAAUUCAAUAUUUCAGACAGUACAUUGAUAGUAAAGUGUUUGAGGGCAUUGCAAGUUACUCAAACCAACGUGAAAUUCAAGUUUCAGGAAGAUUUUUGAAUACAUCACAAGAAGAAAUGAAGACCUUCUUAGGCAUUGCAGUGUACAUGGCAUGCCUUGGAUACCCGCGGAUCAAAAUUUACUACGCCAAAGAUACAAGAGUACCAAUAAUAUAAAAUGCAAUGUCCAGAGAUGGGUACUUCAAGCUAAGGAAGUCACUGAAAGUUACCAAUUACCUUGAUGUGCAAGAGGAAGCAAAGUCAGACCUGUUAUGGAAAGUCAGUUAAAUUAGAAUAGUCAAAAUAUGAUGUUACUUCUCAUUGUGACUAAUUGUUAAGCUAGUCGCAUUUGUUCUACAGUGCGAGUCCCAAUGUCCACUACAGUGCACAUGUAAUUAAAGUACAAUAAAAAUAAUUAAUUGA